rnacentral:lncRNA from 1 species
AAUUUUAUUAUAUACACGUAAAGACAGGAGACACAAUCUUAAAAAAAAAAAAACUUAUUACAACUCAAAGUGACAAUGACUCAAUUUUGCAUAUUUUGUAAAGUUGUUAAAGGUAAUAAGCAUGACACUUAACAGCUUUAUGUGAAAAGUAUAUUUUCGGACUCUCUCAAACCUAAUAUGUAAGUUUUGAAGUAUAUGUUAGAUUGUGAGGCUCAUUCACUUCAACAAAAUAUUUUAAAGAGGAAACAUGAUUAAAAAAAAAAAAAA